GCGCCAGUGGUCCAGUGGUAGGACAGUGGCUUCCCAAGCCACUAGCCCGGGUUCGACUCCCGGCUGGCGCA
rnacentral:tRNA from 2 species